CGGCUAGCGGCAGGCUUAACACAUGCAAGUCGAGGGGCAGCAAGGAUUGUGCUUGCACAAUCUGUUGGCGACCGGCGCACGGGUGCGUAACGCGUAUGCAACCUACCUUUAACAGGGGGAUAACACUGAGAAAUUGGUACUAAUACCCCAUAAUACUUUGAAAGGCAUCUUUCGGAGUUGAAAGUUCCGGCGGUUAGAGAUGGGCAUGCGUUGUAUUAGCUAGAUGGUGAGGUAACGGCUCACCAUGGCGACGAUACAUAGGGGGACUGAGAGGUUAACCCCCCACAUUGGUACUGAGACACGGACCAAACUCCUACGGGAGGCAGCAGUGAGGAAUAUUGGUCAAUGGACGCAAGUCUGAACCAGCCAUGCCGCGUGCAGGAUGACGGCUCUAUGAGUUGUAAACUGCUUUUGUAUUAGGGUAAACCUUAGUACGUGUACUAAGCUGGAAGUAUAAUACGAAUAAGGAUCGGCUAACUCCGUG
rnacentral:rRNA from 1 species